CUUACUCAGAGGUGAGUGAGUUAAAAUGAGGCUGUUGGAGUGUAUCCUAAUUCAAUCUGACUGUUAUCUUUAUAAGAAGAGGACAUUUGGACACACGAACAAGUAUCAGGGAGGUGCACACACAGUGGAAAGACUGUGUGAGCACACAGCAAGUAGACAGCCACCUGCAAGCCAAGGAGAGAGGCUUCAGAAGCAAUCAAAUCUGUGGAUGGCUUUAUCUUAGAUUUUCAGCCUCCAGAACUGUGCGAAAAUAAAUUUCUAUUGUGUAAGCCACCCAGUCUUUGGUACCGUGUUAUGGCAGCCCUAGAAAUUUAAUACAUUACUUAAGAUGGUGACACAGGGACUAAAAUCAGGUGUAUUUAGUCCCACUUGCUGUGAUUUUAAUUACUAUUUUGUAUAGACCUUCCCAAAAGAUGUCUCUGAAAUUUUUUUUUUUUUAGGGAGCCCAAGGAGAAUGCAUGUUCUUUCCAGAUUAUUUCAAAAGCAAGUGCACAAUGGACACGGGGGAAAACACAAGAAAUAAGGCUGUCUUGGAGAAACAUCAGGCAUCAUCCUGAGCAUAGGGAAAUACAGCACUGAAGAAACACGGUUCUAUGAUUUGCAAUUGAUCACAAGUUAUUAGGGAAGAUAGACAAGAAAACUAACAAGUUUGAAACAGCCACUCCACUGACAGCAAAAGAAGAAACAGAUUUAAUUUGAAUUUUGUAUAAUUCAAGACUGAUGACCCAACAGAAUAUUCAGGGCAUGACUUCUUUUCAACAUCAAUAUCGUACAAGAAUAUUUACCGAAGCACACACAUGACGGCAAAAACAAAGCAAAUCACAACAAAGCCCUACAAAAUUGGAAACAAAAUUAGCGCCCAUCAAUCAAUAAUGGCUGAAUCUACUUUGGUGUAUCACCACUGCUGAAUACAAGACAAAUAAGAAAGCGUACCGUAACAAAUAGAACCAAGAAGCAGCUAAGAAAAAUGAGAUUCAAAGAACUUAAAUAACUUGUGCAAAUUCACAGAGCUAAAAGCCAAGAUGGAAAUCUAUCAUAUUUGCAUAAUCUCUAUCACGUUGCUGAAGAACACUGUGAUCAGGAUUUCAGGGGACAUCCAGCGUCGCACAGGUGAGUCAAAGAACGACAUAGUAUCAAGCCCCGGCCCAUUUGGAUCCUUCAAGACACGGAGCUUCCUAUUUCAGAAGAAAUGGGAAAGAGGCUAUUUCAAUGGUGUUAAAGAAGAGCAGAGAGUGAAGGCAUAAGAUGAUGCCCUUCCCAAAGACUGGCCCCUGGAGGCCAUCUACAGAGGGCAUCCCUGUGGAGGCAGUGCGGUGUCAACCUCCAAUGCACGGUGCUGUUAUUACAUGCAGUGGGACUCAGUUUACCAGGAGAUGGAAUCUGCCGAGCUGGUUUCUUGUUGGAAGUGUGGUUUCAUGGCGCCUGGAGACGCGGGGAGGAAUUUCACACUAAAGAAGACUGGGGGACCAUCAAGCACACAAGUGCGUACUACGUGGCAAGCGCUGUCCUGGCAUCAGGGGCUGCGAGCGAAGAUUCCCAAGUGCAGUAAACAUGGCUAAGAGGGUCAUUUAAAACCGGGUCAGGAGGAUAUGGAGGAAGCAGGACCUGUGCGUGUCUCCUGUUUCAAUUCCUAGAACACUAGGAACUUUUCUGACCUUUGCCAAUACAACUCCACCACCUUCUGGAAUACCUCUUUCUUUCUAACUUUGGACUGAAAUAGAGAUCAUGUCACAUCUGUCAGUGAAAUUGCCAAUGGUGUGUUAGAUGGUCUAACUCUGUCAGCACUAAUUAUAAUUCUUUAAAGACAAGUUAUGUAACUGUGGAUUUCGCCUUGAUAAGCCUGCCCUCCCUGCUUGAAAUUCAGAGCACACUUUCAAUUUCAGUCUACCCUGUGUCCCCCGAGGUUGCCAUUCCUAAGACCCCAAAUAAAUGCUUUUGGUUGCUUUACA